rnacentral:rRNA from 1 species
UACGAAGGGGGCUAGCGUUGCUCGGAGUCACUGGGCGUAAAGCGCACGUAGGCGGAUUGCUAAGUCAGGGGUGAAAUCCUGGAGCUCAACUCCAGAACUGCCUUUGAUACUGGUGAUCUUGAGUCCGGGAGAGGUGAGUGGAACUGCGAGUGUAGAGGUGAAAUUCGUAGAUAUUCGCAAGAACACCAGUGGCGAAGGCGGCUCACUGGCCCGGAACUGACGCUGAGGUGCGAAAGCGUGGGGAGCAAACAGG